rnacentral:rRNA from 1 species
AGUCGAGCGGACAGAAGGGAGCUUGCUCCCGGAUGUUAGCGGCGGACGGGUGAGUAACACGUGGGUAACCUGCCUGUAAGACUGGGAUAACUCCGGGAAACCGGAGCUAAUACCGGAUAGUUCCUUGAACCGCAUGGUUCAAGGAUGAAAGACGGUUUCGGCUGUCACUUACAGAUGGACCCGCGGCGCAUUAGCUAGUUGGUGGGGUAAUGGCUCACCAAGGCGACGAUGCGUAGCCGACCUGAGAGGGUGAUCGGCCACACUGGGACUGAGACACGGCCCAGACUCCUACGGGAGGCAGCAGUAGGGAAUCUUCCGCAAUGGACGAAAGUCUGACGGAGCAACGCCGCGUGAGUGAUGAAGGUUUUCGGAUCGUAAAGCUCUGUUGUUAGGGAAGAACAAGUGCGAGAGUAACUGCUCGCACCUUGACGGUACCUAACCAGAAAGCCACGGCUAACUACGUGCCAGCAGCCGCGGUAAUACGUAGGUGGCAAGCGUUGUCCGGAAUUAUUGGGCGUAAAGGGCUCGCAGGCGGUUUCUUAAGUCUGAUGUGAAAGCCCCCGGCUCAACCGGGGAGGGUCAUUGGAAACUGGGAAACUUGAGUGCAGAAGAGGAGAGUGGAAUUCCACGUGUAGCGGUGAAAUGCGUAGAGAUGUGGAGGAACACCAGUGGCGAAGGCGACUCUCUGGUCUGUAACUGACGCUGAGGAGCGAAAGCGUGGGGAGCGAACAGGAUUAGAUACCCUGGUAGUCCACGCCGUAAACGAUGAGUGCUAAGUGUUAGGGGGUUUCCGCCCCUUAGUGCUGCAGCUAACGCAUUAAGCACUCCGCCUGGGGAGUACGGUCGCAAGACUGAAACUCAAAGGAAUUGACGGGGGCCCGCACAAGCGGUGGAGCAUGUGGUUUAAUUCGAAGCAACGCGAAGAACCUUACCAGGUCUUGACAUCCUCUGACAACCCUAGAGAUAGGGCUUUCCCUUCGGGGACAGAGUGACAGGUGGUGCAUGGUUGUCGUCAGCUCGUGUCGUGAGAUGUUGGGUUAAGUCCCGCAACGAGCGCAACCCUUGAUCUUAGUUGCCAGCAUUUAGUUGGGCACUCUAAGGUGACUGCCGGUGACAAACCGGAGGAAGGUGGGGAUGACGUCAAAUCAUCAUGCCCCUUAUGACCUGGGCUACACACGUGCUACAAUGGACAGAACAAAGGGCUGCAAGACCGCAAGGUUUAGCCAAUCCUCAUAAAUCUGUUCUCAGUUCGGAUCGCAGUCUGCAACUCGACUGCGUGAAGCUGGAAUCGCUAGUAAUCGCGGAUCAGCAUGCUGCGGUGAAUACGUUCCCGGGCCUUGUACACACCGCCCGUCACACCACGAGAGU